rnacentral:rRNA from 1 species
AGUCACUGACAUUAGAUACCCCCGUAGUCCCAGCCGUAAACUAUGCGCGUUAGGUGUAUCGGUGACCACGAGUUACCGAGGUGCCGAAGGGAAACCGUGAAACGUGCCGCCUGGGAAGUACGGUCGCAAGGCUGAAACUUAAAGGAAUUGGCGGGGGAGCACAACAACGGGUGGAGCCUGCGGUUUAAUUGGACUCAACGCCGGACAACUCACCGGGGACGACAGCAAUAUGUAGGCCAGGCUGAAGACCUUUGCCUGAAUCGCUG